GGACCAGAGAGGCGGAGACCCGAUUAAGUUAACCCGGCAGUCGUCGUCGUCGCUUUGUUGGGUCGUCCCGUCCCGUCAACUGCUAGCUGCUUCGUUUCUCUUGCAUGCAUUUUGACUAACCGUGGAAAAAUGAGUCAUCACGUCUGCUCAGGAGCGAUAUUUCCAGUGACAAAAUGUACGAAUUCAUAGAAGCUGCCAAAGCUUACAAUCCUCAGGGAAUGUCAUUAGUAUGGAAUUUCAAGGGCCAACAUGAUUUUUUUUUCCCGCUGGGAUCGAGAUGCAUGUGUCUAGAAAUACGGGGCCGUCCUUCAGCAUGCAGCAGCAUAUACACACCUCAAACUCACCAGGAUACUAAGCCAGCUAAGCUGAGCUUGGAUAUGGGGUCCUUUGCUAAAGCUGCGCGUUUCCUGGUGCUCCUCCAGAUCGCUAUGUUCGUCGUCUCAGCCGUCAUCAUGAACAGCUCCGUCUGCCAUGGAGCUCGCGACAUCAGUGGAGGAAUCGGCUACCCUUCUUUGAACCCUAACCAUCCUCCGUGCGCCAGGAAACCGUGCCCGUCGCCUGGUCAGCCCUACACCCGCGGACCCCCUCCCCCAAACAACGGAGGAAUUGGACGGCCUUGAUGCAUCAUGUCUCCCUCUAGCAGUGCAAGUUACUACCACGAUCUUGCACUGAAUCGGCAGCAAUAUUGUCUCGUGUACUUAUGUUUUAAAACUUCAAAUAAAACUGGAUGCCUGGCCCUGAUAUCAAUAUGCAUGGUUGUGCGAACAUGAAACUUCGGUUCAGAAUUAAUAAAAGACAUUGAUGAGAGCGAACUGUAUAGCUAAGUGUUGCUUCCUAUUUGAUUCAGUCUAGCAGCAACCGGAAGACUCUCAUCGUGCUAUUGUGUACUCUAGGCAUGAAGGCUGCCGGCCGAAUUAAGCUUUGAUGUGAAAUGAGUUGAUGGAUUUCUUUUGUGGUUGCA